UGGGGAAUUUUGGACAAUGGGCGAAAGCCUGAUCCAGCAAUGCCGCGUGUGUGAAGAAGGCCUUCGGGUUGUAAAGCACUUUUGUCCGGAAAGAAAUCCUCUGGGUUAAUACCUCGGGGGGAUGACGGUACCGGAAGAAUAAGCACCGGCUAACUACGUGCCAGCAGCCGCGGUAAUACGUAGGGUGCAAGCGUUAAUCGGAAUUACUGGGCGUAAAGCGUGCGCAGGCGGUUUUGUAAGACGGAUGUGAAAUCCCCGGGCUUAACCUGGGAACUGCAUUCGUGACUGCAAGGCUAGAGUAUGGCAGAGGGGGGUAGAAUUCCACGUGUAGCAGUGAAAUGCGUAGAGAUGUGGAGGAAUACCGAUGGCGAAGGCAGCCCCCUGGGCCAAUACUGACGCUCAUGCACGAAAGCGUGGGGAGCAAAACAGGAUUAGAUACCCUGGUAGUCCACGCCCUAAACGAUGUCAACUAGUUGUUGGGGAUUCAUUUCCUUAGUAACGUAGCUAACGCGUGAAGUUGACCGCCUGGGGAGUACAGUCGCAAGAUUAAAACUCAAAGGAAUUGACGGGGUCAUAGCUGUUUCCU
rnacentral:rRNA from 1 species